GUGCUCACUUCAGCAGCACAAAUACUAACAUUGGAAUGAUACAGAAAAGAUUACCAUGGCCACUGUGCAAGGAUGACACAGAAGUUCAUGAAGUGUUCCAUAUUUUU